rnacentral:lncRNA from 1 species
UCGUGCAUUAAAUUCGCUUCUUCGUCUGCUCCAUCUCCUGCACGUCGACUUGUCUGCUCGAAGAACUGGACCACCCCAGCAGCCCGCCGGUACAGUACAGGAGUUGCUAUACGACAGUUAUCCGUAUAAUCCAAUUUGAUCUCUGUCCUUGUUGCUUUUAUUUUCAUUUCCAUUUUGCCGAAACCCUUUCCCCCCCCCCUUUUACAGGACAAGCUAUAAGCAAAGAUAAUACCUGUAUUUGCUUGGAUAAUAUAAAUACGAAAGAUUUUUACAAGAUGCGGCCCUGGUAGUGGGGGCCACACAGU